rnacentral:rRNA from 1 species
ACCUCCACAUCCUGCCAGUAGUCAUAUGCUUGUCUCAAAGAUUAAGCCAUGCAUGUCUCAGUACAUGCCGAAUUAAGGUGAAACCGCGAAUGGCUCAUUAAAUCAGUUAUGGUUCAUUAGAUCGUGGACACAUUUACUUGGAUAACUGUGGUAAUUCUAGAGCUAAUACAUGCAAACAGAAUUCCUCUCAGAGAUGGGAGGAAUGCUUUUAUUAGAUCAAAACCAAUCGGUGGCGGACGGCUCGUCCGUUCGUCCAUCGUUUGUUUUGGUGACUCUGAAUAACUUUGUGCUGAUCGCAUGGUCAUCUAGCACCGGCGACGCAUCUUUCAAAUGUCUGCCUUAUCAACUGUCGAUGGUAGGUUCUGCGCCUACCAUGGUUGUAACGGGUAACGGGGAAUCAGGGUUCGAUUCCGGAGAGGGAGCCUGAGAAACAGCUACCACAUCCAAGGAAGGCAGCAGGCGCGCAAAUUACCCACUCCCGGCACGGGGAGGUAGUGACGAAAAAUAACGAUACGGGACUCAUCCGAGGCCCCGUAAUCGGAAUGAGUACACUUUAAAUCCUUUAACGAGGACCAAUUGGAGGGCAAGUCUGGUGCCAGCAGCCGCGGUAAUUCCAGCUCCAAUAGCGUAUAUUAAAGUUGUUGCGGUUAAAAAGCUCGUAGUUGAAUCUGUGUGUCACAGUGUCGGUUCACCGCUCGCGGUGUUUAACUGGCAUUAUGUGGUACGUCCUAUCGGUGGGCUUAGCUCCUUGCGGGCGGUCCAACUAAUAUCCCAUCGCGGUGCUCUUCACUGAGUGUCGAGGUGGGCCGAUACGUUUACUUUGAACAAAUUAGAGUGCUUAAAGCAGGCUACCUUUGCCUGAAUACUGUGUGCAUGGAAUAAUGGAAUAGGACCUCGGUUCUAUUUUGUUGGUUUUCGGAACCCCGAGGUAAUGAUUAAUAGGGACAGAUGGGGGCAUUCGUAUUGCGACGUUAGAGGUGAAAUUCUUGGAUCGUCGCAAGACGGACAGAAGCGAAAGCAUUUGCCAAAAAUGUUUUCAUUAAUCAAGAACGAAAGUUAGAGGUUCGAAGGCGAUCAGAUACCGCCCUAGUUCUAACCAUAAACGAUGCCAGCCAGCGAUCCGCCGAAGUUCCUCCGAUGACUCGGCGGGCAGCUUCCGGGAAACCAAAGCUUUUGGGUUCCGGGGGAAGUAUGGUUGCAAAGCUGAAACUUAAAGGAAUUGACGGAAGGGCACCACCAGGAGUGGAGCCUGCGGCUUAAUUUGACCCAACACGGGAAACCUCACCAGGCCCGGACACCGGAAGGAUUGACAGA